GACGAACGCUGGCGGCGUGCUUAACACAUGCAAGUCGAACGGUGAAGCUCCAGCUUGCUGGAGUGGAUCAGUGGCGAACGGGUGAGUAACACGUGAGCAACCUGCCCCUGACUCUGGAAUAAGCGCUGGAAACGGCGUCUAAUACUGGAUACGAGAAGGGUCCGCAUGGGCACUUUCUGGAAAGUUUUUCGGUUGGGGAUGGGCUCGCGGCCUAUCAGCUUGUUGGUGAGGUAAUGGCUCACCAAGGCGACGACGGGUAGCCGGCCUGAGAGGGCGACCGGCCACACUGGGACUGAGAGACGGCCCAGACUCCUACGGGAGGCAGCAGUGGGGAAUAUUGCACAAUGGGCGAAAGCCUGAUGCAGCGACGCCGCGUGAGGGAUGACGGCCUUCGGGUUGUAAACCUCUUUCAGCAGGGAAGAAGCGAAAGUGACGGUACCUGCAGAAGAAGCACCGGCUAACUACGUG
rnacentral:rRNA from 1 species